rnacentral:rRNA from 1 species
AGUGAACGCUGGCGGUAGGCCUAACACAUGCAAGUCGAACGGCAGCACAGGAGAGCUUGCUCUCUGGGUGGCGAGUGGCGGACGGGUGAGGAAUACAUCGGAAUCUACCUUUUCGUGGGGGAUAACGUAGGGAAACUUACGCUAAUACCGCAUACGACCUACGGGUGAGAGUGGGGGACCGCAAGGCCUCACGCGAUUAG